UGGAACAGAAGGAAAAGGUAUCCUCACUCAACAGAUAAAAACAUUCCUUUUGGGCUGUGAACACUAUCAUUAAGUUGAAGAUGAAGAAGCCAUUUUCUCUUCUUGUCAUGAGAUGCUGUAUUUCAGAUUCUGCAGUCAGUCUUUCAAGCAUUAUGACACUAAUCUAAGAUUAACAUUGACUUUGGUCUUGCAAAUGUUUUAAAUAGUAUUGUACCAAACCUAAAUUAUAUGCUCAUCAAACAUGCAAGAAGAUAGUUAAAUUAGGUUUUGCUAUAUUAAUUGGAGCAUUAAUGUUUUAAACUAAGAGCAAAAAAACACAAGCCCAUGUGACCAUGUUCUUUACCUUGACCAUAUUACCUUGCCAGAAUUGCUACCAAAAUUAUUUACCCUCUUUUUUGACAUAUGAGUGACACAACAAAACUAAACUAAACCUCUCCUGGGCUUUUAAAAAACCUUACAUGCUUUAAUGUCUAGUUAAGAUGUGCAAUAAAGGCUACGUAUCUUUUCAUUUA